UGCAAGUCGAGCGGACUUUGCCUUCGGGGAAAGUUAGCGGCGGACGGGUGAGUAACACGUGGGUAACCUGCGCAUAAGACUGGGAUAACAUUCGGAAACGAAUGCUAAUACCGGAUACGCGAAUCGGUCGCAUGAUCGGAUCGGGAAAGGCGGAGCAAUCUGCCGCUUAUGGAUGGACCCGCGGCGCAUUAGCUAGUUGGGGGGGUAACGGGUCACCAAGGCGACGAUGCGUAGCCGACCUGAGAGGGUGAUCGGCCACACUGGGACUGAGACACGGCCCACACUCCUACGGGAGGCAGCAGUAGGGAAUCUUCCGCAAUGGACGAAAGUCUGACGGAGCAACGCCGCGUGAGUGAUGAAGGUUUUCGGAUCGUAAAGCUCUGUUGCCAGGGAAGAACGCUUGCGAGAGUAACUGCUCGCAAGGUGACGGUACCUGAGAAGAAAGCCCCGGCUAACUCCCCGCCCGCAGCCGCGGUAAU
rnacentral:rRNA from 1 species